GUCUAUGGCAGUGCCCUGAAGAUGCCUAAUUUCUUCUGGUCUGUGAAGCUAAGCAGGGUGGGGCCUGGUUCAGUGCUUGGAAGGGAGACUGCCUGGGAAUACCGGGUGCUGUAGGCU
ensembl:rRNA 5S_rRNA 5S ribosomal RNA